rnacentral:rRNA from 1 species
AGAGUUUGAUCAUGGCUCAGGAUGAACGCUGGCGGCGUGCUUAACACAUGCAAGUCGAGCGAGAAGGUUAAGAUGGAUUCUUCGGAUGACAGAUUAAUUGGAAAGCGGCGGACGGGUGAGUAACGCGUGGGUAACCUGCCCCAUACACAGGGAUAGCCAUUGGAAACGAUGAUUAAUACCUGAUAAAACAUAUGAAUCGCAUGAUUUGAAUGUCAAAGAUUUAUCGGUAUGGGAUGGACCCGCGUCUGAUUAGCUAGUUGGUAAGGUAAUGGCUUACCAAGGCGACGAUCAGUAGCCGACCUGAGAGGGUGAUCGGCCACACUGGAACUGAGACACGGUCCAGACUCCUACGGGAGGCAGCAGUGGGGAAUAUUGCACAAUGGGCACAAGCCUGAUGCAGCAACGCCGCGUGAACGAAGAAGGCUUUCGGGUCGUAAAGUUCUUUUCUUAGGGAAGAAAGAUGACGGUACCUAAGGAAUAAGCACCGGCUAAAUACGUGCCAGCAGCCGCGGUAAUACGUAUGGUGCAAGCGUUAUCCGGAAUCACUGGGCGUAAGGGUACGUAGGCGGUGAUGCAGUCA